rnacentral:rRNA from 1 species
CAAUAUUAAAGUUGUUGCAGUUAAAAAGCUCGUAGUUGAAUUUCGGGAUCAGAUUGUCGGUCGUGCCUCGGUACGCACUGGCAUUAUUGGUUCCUACCUUCUGAAGAACCGCGAUGUCAUUAAUUUGGUGUCGUGGGGAAUCAGGACUGUUACUUUGAAAAAAUUAGAGUGUUUAAAGCAGGCGCACGCUUGAAUACAUUAGCAUGGAAUAAUGAAAUAGGACGUUUGAUUCUAUUUUGUUGGUUUCUAGGAUCGACGUAAUGAUUAAUAGGGAUAGUUGGGGGCAUUAGUAUUCAAUUGUCAGAGGUGAAAUUCUUGGAUUUAUUGAAGACUAACUACUGCGAAAGCAUUUGCCAAGGAUGUUUUCAUUAAUCAAGAACGAAAGUUAGGGGAUCGAAGACGAUCAGAUACCGUCGUAGUCUUAACCAUAAACUAUGCCGACUAGGGAUCGGAUGAUGUUGAUUUUUUAAUGACCCAUUCGGCGCCUUACGGGAAACACA